UACGGAGGGUGCAAGCGUUAAUCGGAAUUACUGGGCGUAAAGCGUGCGUAGGAGGCGUUUUAAGUCGGAUGUGAAAUCGCCGAGCUUAACUUGGGAAUUGCAUUCGAUACUGGGAAGCUAGAGUAUGGGAGAGGAUGGUAGAAUUCCAGGUGUAGCGGUGGAAUGCGUAGAGAUCUGGAGGAAUACCGAUGGCGAAGGCAGCCAUCUGGCCUAAUACUGACGCUGAGGUACGAAAGCAUGGGGAGCAAAUAGG
rnacentral:misc_RNA from 1 species